rnacentral:lncRNA from 1 species
CUGCGCACCGUUCCAUCUCCUCGCACGCCAUCGUCACGCCUCUGACACCUGCAGGGAGAAGUGAAUGCAAACAACAGAGGAUUACAAAGAACUAAAGAGCAAAAAAACAAAAAGAUGAAGAUAAAACGGGUGUAAUAUGGCUAUAAAAGCCAAAGGAUUCUCAUUGUAACUUUUUUUUUACGAACACAUAAAUAUUGAGAUCAAAAAAAAUCGAGAUUAAAGAAAAGGUUGAUUUGAACUUCUCUCUCUUCGUUUUUCUUUAUUUUUGUAUGUUUGUUUAUUUAUUGUUGCAAAUCGAUUUUAAAAAUACAUCAAAGAAUGUGAAAAGAAAAAGGUUACCCGAAUCAGCCCUUAGGCCUGCCGUCGAUGGUCCUUCGUCGUCGCCGGAUGUGGGUUUAGGGAGGGGUCAAGGUUUUUUUCGUUCCCUGUUCCAUGGCCUUGGAACUUUGGCAGAGAAGGGGAACCUCCCCUUUUGUUUUGUAGGUUCUUUGCAGAAAAUGAAACAGCAAAAAAAGAAGUAAAAUUUUUAACUUUUAUGGAUUAUAAAACGGCGCCGUUUGGAAGCUUGGAGGGCUGCGCAGUAUUGCCCUAAUGGGUAUUUUACACAAUUAGCCCCUCCAAUUCUGUGGACAUUCGGUGCACUCUUUUAUUUUACUCAAUUUCGGCCACAGAAUUUCGCAUCCUUUCCGAUCUAGUCCUACGCAAAGCGAUGCGUAUGUGGGACAGGGAAUAUUGCACAAUCGGUCCCCCAUGUCUUUAGCGCAUUUUAUUCUUGCCCCCCAGCCCCCGGUUUCAUGUAUUUGUAGUUUAAGACCUUUUUCUUAAUUUCAUUUCAACCAUAUCCUCAAUAUAUUUAAUUUAUUUAUUUUUUAAGAUAUGCUCUUUUGGGCAAUUUACCAAAAAAAGCCAUUUUUUUUUCAAAAUUUACCGAAAUGGGCCGAUUUUUUGAUUAUUUACCGGAAUGGGCCAUUUUCCGCGAAAUCGCGUACACGUCAGCGCGAUGUUAGGGUACGUGUCAGGACAUUGCGUCCACGUCAGCGCAAUUUGCUUACGUGGACACAAAUCGCGCCUACGAGGACGCGAUUUGCUGACGUGGAUGAACAGUUUAUGUUUUUAAGCUUGGAAAACUUUAAAAGGCCAUAACUUUUUGCUCGGUUGUCCGAUUCAGACGAUUUUUUUUUGAUUUCGAAUAACUUUUCGAGAUCUACGCACUGACAAACGCCGAAGGCGGUUUGCCGCAGUUUUCGUCAAAAAAGAUCCUUUUUUGCCCCUAAAUUUUGAUUUUUUCGGUUUAAAAUUGAAUUUUGAAACAUUCAAAUCAUUAUUUUCCUUAUUUAUUUGAAGUAAACACCGGAUCUUUUUUUAUAGAAUUGUCUUAUAUCAUCCUGUUAUAGGUAUAAGUCAGCUCAUUCCACUUUUGAGAAGUUCCCUAAAAUUUUUAUUUUAUUCAAUUUAGUCCCUAAAACCUAAAUAGUCAUAUUUUCAAAUCUAAGCUUCGUUUUUCAAUUCAAAUUCAAUUUCAUCCUUCCAUAACAUUCAAAUAUUCUUAAAUACAAAAAUUUCAUGCUAAUUUUGAAAUAAUUACACUUUAGUCCCUAUACUCGUAACUAACAAAUUAUACUUUACAAAUUAGUCACUAUUCAUCUCUAAGCAGUUUGUCAGCGCGUAGAUCUUGAAAAGUUAUUCGAAAUUAAAAAAAAUCGUCUCAAUCGGACAACCGAGCCAAAAGUUAUGGCCUUUUAAAGUUUUUCAAGCUAAAAAACAUAAACUGUUCAUGCCACGUCAGCAAAUCGCGUCCUCUAAGGCGCGAUUUCCGUCCACGUCAGCAAGUCGCGCUGAUGUGGACGCAAUUUCCUAGCGCGUACCCUGACAUCGCGCUGACGUGGACGCGAUUUCGCGGAAAAUAGACCAUUCCGGUAAAUAAUUAAAUAGUUGGCCCAUUUCGGUAAAUUUUGAAAAAAAAGGGCUUUUAUUGGUAAAAUACCCUGCUCUUUUAUCAUUAUAUGUUUUAAGCUUUUUUUAUUUAUUUGAAAUUGUUUUACAUUAAAACCUUUCAUAUAUUCUUUUGAAAACUGUUUCUUUUAUUAUUUAGUAUUUUCUUUUACACAUUAUUUUAUUUUAAAUUUGCUUUGGAUAAAUUAGUUUUUGUAACAACCCUAUACCUAGUCUAAUCGUACUGACCCAAUAUAAGGCUAUUACAUUUGGUGCCAAACGAUUAUAGCUAGAUAUUGUUUAAUUAAACCAUUUAUACAUAGCAUUUUAACUUACCAACCAUAUUUGCAAACAUACAUAUAGUUUUACUAAUUCAUUUUAUAUAUAUACCAAAAUACGUAAAGUACUUAAAAAUAGAUAGAAGUCCAAGAGUUUACAUUUUAGUUCCUAACACAUGGAAGCAUAACUGAUUGUCUAUGUACAUGCCAUUUUAAUUCAAAAUAUGGUACCUACUUUUGAAGCUCUUGAGGAUGUGAUGAGAUGAGAGAUCUUCUAUCCUGACUUUACCUCUUCGAGACAAACUGUACCUACGCGUUAAAAUUAAACGCGUUAGGCCGGUGAAGGCUUAGUAAGCACUACAAAAAAUAAACAGAUAAAUAAAUAUAAACAAAAUAUGUCAAACUCUUUCUGUUAUUUCGUAUUUACGUACGUAUAAGCUUCAUAAAACUUACCUUAGCAUAUUAAUGAUUCGCUUUUAUCCACAAAUCAUAAUCUUAGCCCAAAGUAGAUUUAUAUAGAACACACCGGAUAUACGGAACAAAUACAGAGGUGCAUUAUUAUGCACUAAUGAACAGAGAGCACUAAAGUGCUAUACAGAGAGCACAGAUGUGCUAAACAGAGAGCACUGACGUGCUAAAAUCAGAGAGCACCAACGUGCUAGUAGUCAGAGAGCACCAACGUGCUAAUAAUCAGAGAGCGCGCUAAAGUUCCUUAAUGGCAUGCCACUAAUAUCCUGGUAGUUCUAAAUUCCAUCUACUUGGGCAUUAAAACUGAAUCUCAUUCAAUUAAAUACUUUAUAGAAUUAUUUCGAAAAAGAUUUCUCAUUUCUCCAUCAUUACAAUUUAGUGCACAUUUCACAAUUCACAAUUAUCACACCAUUUUCACAUAUAUAUACUUUUGUCACAAUAUUUACUUAAUGUUCAAUCAAUGUACCACUAUAUACUUUCCAUAUAUAAUUUUCUUUACAAAUUUCAUAGUUCCAUAAUCUUUUAUUUUACUUUAUUUUAUUUUAUUUCUAAAUAAUUCUAUACUAUAAUAUAGGCAUUUAAAUAAAAUAAAUUAAAAAAAAUAACCUUGUAGUACUUGCAACAAAAAGGUUGAGAUGAUAUCUUCCUUCACUCCUUAGCCUUCUCUUUCCCUUUUUCUUCAAUUAGGUCCUUUCCUUUCUUUUCUUUCUCUUCAAUUUCAUAUAAAACACAUAACAUUUAUAUAGUAGAAAAACAAUCAAAUAACUUUCCUAUAUGAUUUAAUAAGAAUAAACAUAUAUGAUAUAAAAAUUUCAUAAUUUCUUACCUUAGCUAAUAUUUCAAUUUAAUUCAUAACUAAAAUUAUUUCUAUUUCUAUCACAAUCUAUACCUUAUUUUUACUUAAAUUCUACUUACAACUUGACUUAACUCUCAAAUUUUCACUAAUAAACCUUAAUUUCGAAUUUCUUACAAUUUUAAAUUAAACUUAUAACUUAUUUCUCAAUUUAAUCUUUUUCCCAAUUCUAGUUUGAAUUUCCAUCAAUUCAAUCUCUAAUUCAUCCACUAUUUCAAUAUAAACUACAUAAAAAAAUUCUACUAACUUUCAAAAUUUCAACAUAUACCUACUAAUAUUUUAAUCUAGAAUCAUAAAAACUCAAAAAUUUCAAGAAAAAGACUUAAUUUGACUUACCAAUUUGAAAUUGAACCUUAAAACCCUAAUUUUCUUCUUUACUUUUUCUUUCUUUCCUUCUCCCCUAUUUCUCCCCUGUUCCGUUUCGAAUUCUAUUCUGUUUCUUUCUUUUCAUUUCUUUUUCUUUUGUUUUAUAUA